rnacentral:RNase_P_RNA from 1 species
UUAGCCGGGCAGCCGCGCAUGGUGUGCCGAAAGGCCCCCUGUGAGGAAAGUCCGGGCUCCAUAGGGCAAGGAUAACGGGUAACGCCCGCCGUAGGCGACUACAGGAAAAGUGCAACAGAGAUAUACCGCCGUCGGUUCGUGCCAUCACUAUGUCAACCAUCAGAGCCUGUCAGCUCACCCGAUAGUGCAUUGGCAGUUCCUGCGGUAAGGGUGGAAAGGCGAGGUAAGAGCUCACCGGCUGCCGUGUGAAAGCGUGCAGUCCUGUAAACUCUAUCCGGAGCAACACCGCAAUAGGGACUUAAGCUGGCCCGGCUGUCCCUGAAUAGGUGGCUUGAGCCCUGCGGUAACGUAGGGCCUAGAUAGAUGGCUGUCGAUUACAGAACCCGGCUUAUAGGCUAAAUC